GCUCGCCUCUGAUUGGCAGAAUGCAAUGCCUCAGACUACACGGCGGCCAACUCCCCCCGCCAUAUAGGGGUGUGUCCUGACGUCAGCGCCUGACCAGCGAAGAGGUGCAGUACAAGCCUCCAGGACCGUUUCAGUCAUGGGUUGGAAUAUCAGGAGGACAAGCGGACUGAACUGGGUUGAACAAUGUGACUCCCCAGUGGAAUAACAUCCUGCGUCCGGGUAGUGAAAGAGGCUCCAAUCUCUGGCGGUCUCUCUGUCUUCAGACUCAGGAUCUUCCCGCUCCCCUUCCAGCUGGAAAAACAAACACAGUCUGUGGGAGUGAAGGGACCCAGUGCUGUAAAAAAAAACUGCAGCGCCACUCUCGCCGGCUUUCAAGCGAAUAAAAAAAAGGAAAAGGGCCUGUGUAAAUGUCAUUAGUUAUCUUUAUCACCAAAUGUGUUUGGCGACUUGAAAGCGACGGAGGAGGAUCGGCACAGGCAGCUUCUCCACAGCUCCACUGGAUAACGAGACUGUGAGUGAAUAAAAGCAGAAAUAAGCAGGCAGUAACAUAGCAAGUGGUUUUGCGUUUUAUUGGGGAGGAAACCUCUGUGUACGAGAUUUGUGAAAACACACACUCCUUUUUCCUCCCACCCGCUGCUUCUUGACCUUGACCCCUGACAGAAACAACAAGGGGAGGGGGGUGGAUUUGCCCCUGGUAACUGGUCUUAACUUACAGUACAGUAGUUUGAGUAUUUAUUUCUUUUUUUCUUGCUAUAUGUGGGCAUCUAUGGCCUGCUAGAAGAAAGUCAAAGAGGACAAUUAUAAUUUCCAGGAGCUUGUUUUUCAGUGAAAAACUCAUUAUAUAAAAUAUGCUCACAAUUCACCAUAUUAGAAUUAUUAGAAAUGCCUACACUGUACUUCCACUCACUGGCCAACACAAUCCACCUACCUUAUAGAUCCACUGUACUAUUACAGACUAUAGCCCACCUUCACAACUUAUCAGCCACCCUCUACCCCAGUCGUCAUUGGUCAGGUGAUGACCACAUGACUGCUGUUGACCAUGUUAUCUGGGUGGUGGAUGAUUCUCA